AACUGAUACUACCUGCGGGAACCUGCGGAGGGAUCAUUAAAGAGUGAUGCCACCCUUCAAAGGGCUGGUAGUAAACUCCAACCCCCUAUGUUUUUAUUUACCUUUUUGUUGCUUAGGCGGUUCGUAAAGCUUUUUUUUUUUAAAAAAAAAUGGCUUUCCAUUGGCUUUUUUCUUAGGCUGAUGAGUUUUAACCGCCAAAGGACUUAAAAACUCUUUGAAAUUUAUUGUCUGAGAUUUUUU
rnacentral:misc_RNA from 1 species